rnacentral:snRNA from 1 species
UGUUUUUGGUCCCAAGGCU